AUUGAACGCUGGCGGCAGGCCUAACACAUGCAAGUCGAGCGGAUGACGGGAGCUUGCUCCUUGAUUCAGCGGCGGACGGGUGAGUAAUGCCUAGGAAUCUGCCUGGUAGUGGGGGACAACGUUUCGAAAGGAACGCUCAUACCGCAUACGUCCUACGGGAGAAAGCAGGGGACCUUCGGGCCUUGCGCUAUCAGAUGAGCCUAGGUCGGAUUAGCUAGUUGGUGGGGUCAUGGCUCACCAAGGCGACGAUCCGUAACUGGUCUGAGAGGAUGAUCAGUCACACUGGAACUGAGGCACGGUCCAGACUCCUACGGGAGGCAGCAGUGGGGAAUAUUGGACAAUGGGCGAAAGCCUGAUCCAGCCAUGCCGCGUGUGUGAAGAAGGUCUGCGGAUUGUAAAGCACUUUAAGUUGGGAGGAAGGGCAGUAAGCUAAUACCUUGCUGUUUUGACGUUACCGACAGAAUAAGCACCGGCUAACUCUGUGCCAGCAGCCGCGGUAA
rnacentral:rRNA from 1 species